UGCAGUUUUAAGGAAUAUGCGCCGCUCAAGUGUAGGACUUCAUUACAUUGACAUUACAGCAACUGGCAACUGUACCGUGUCCAGUAUAAUUGAUUGAAUCAAUAACAUCCGCCACUAUAAACAAAUUUUAAAUUUUGUUGUAGUUUGAUCUGCAUCCUUGAAUAUCACAAAAAACUUGCACCUAUGGCUUAUAUAUUGACCAAAUGGAUUUUCAAAGCGUGUACCUAGUUCCCACUUCAUCUCACUCUAACAAAUUUAGCUCAUUGAGCUUUCUGAUGCAUCACAAUCAACUGCUGGUCUGCCAUGGCUGUGAACAGCCUCAAAGGCCUGAGCAGAAGCACUUGAAAAUCCCAUUAAUGCCUGGAAUACAUUAGGGAGGCCUGUUUGCAGUUUGUUUAGAGUCAUGACUCUGGUAACCUGGACUGAGUUCAAAUAUUUAGUCUUCUCGGAGUCUAGCCGUUUCUUUAAGGCUUCAGUUUUGGCAAGCUUAAGCGACAAGGGAUUUUUAGGGCUCAAAUCAGAUUGCAUAUCUCCAUCAGUAGAACUCCAAUUAACCUUUUUCUCCAUUUCAGCAAGGGAGAUUAACUCCUUCUGAAAUCUUCUCUCCAGUUUAUCAGAUUUUUUGUGUAGGUUGUGUUCCUCUGUCUGCUGCAGCAUUAUCAUUUGGAUGGCAUCCAAAAAGCUUUUAAUGGCCUCUGAGGCUAUCUGUAUAAAGAAUUCACAUAUCAAAAGGAGAGAAAUAUUUAAUGCACUAAAUGCACGAAGCGCAUUACAGAAUCAAUCCUAUGUUACAGUUCAUCACUGAAAGAAAGACUGAAAAAACAUUCCAUGCAGAUGGAGAGUUGUGAUCAUACAUGGUGGAUUUUGUGCUAGGAAGUUGCUUAGGAAAACAUGCUUCGGCAAUCACGAAUUCAGAACUCUGGCUGUUAAUCAUUUAACCAUGUAAGGAUUACAUUAGAUCGGAAAAUUAAAUCUACCCACCAACUAUUCAACUUAUACUCCAGUCUGGCAGAUCCUCUGGCAUACGACCCAACAUAUUUAAAAAUUCAUUGAUUCAGGAGUGACCCCAACACAAUAAGGUAUCUUAAAGAUAAACAAAAAUAAACUAGGAAGGCUUAUUAAUCAUUCAUAUGUAACUUCUAACAAUAUGCAAAGCUACAUGAAACUAAAAUCAAUCCACUGCUUUAACAGCAUUUGUACAUGUAAGUCAACAGUUAAGCAGAGAGGCAGCAUCACAUUUAUGAUAAACAAAUAAUAAAUUAGGUCACUAUACUUGCAUUGAAAUUUAAAGUUGAAUGUCAUUUAUACAAUUUCUAAGAAAAAUAAUAUAAAAACUAGCAACAACCAAAGGAAGCAUUUUUGUAAUACUAAGUUUUCAAACCUGACCCAAUCAUUAAAAUGGUGAAAAUAAAGGAUUAAGAAUUUAAGAUUGAACUAGGGUUGAACUGGUAUACUAUUAAAUAAAUAUUAACUAUAUAUUAUAAAAUUAAUAAUCUCUUAAAAAUAAUAAUAAUAAUGCAUUUUACCAUCAUUAAUUUAAUAUAUUUAUAAAUAAUUAUUAAUUAAUUUCAUUAUAGUUAGAGAGAGAAUAGAAAAGAGGUAAAUGGUAAUUUUUUAAUAGAUAGGGGUAAAAGGGUAAUUUUAUUCUUUUUAAUGUGGAAACUUAUUGUUGCAGGUUAGAGAGAUUUUUUUUAAAACAAAAAAAAACACUUCUCAAGAAGAAAAUCUUGGACAAAGAACAAACAAUAAGAAGCAUGUCAACUGGAUGACAGGAUUUGGAUAUACUUAUUCAAGGUGCAAAUAACCCAUAUUGAAAUUACUGUAUAGACUUGCAACUUCAGGCCUUCAUGGAAUUUGACUCAAAUAACUACCAGACCAAAAUGCAAAGGAACUAAACAAAAAUAAGAUACCAUGGACUUAGGCCUCCAACAAAGACAACUGUGCUCAGGGCCAUGCAUUUUUGUCCCGCACCACCAAAGCCAGCAGCAACUAGAGCAUGUAAAGUAGCAUCCACAUUUGCAUCAGGCAUGACAACUGCAUGAUUUUUUGCUCCAAUAUUGGACUGGAUGCGUUUUCCUUUAGCUGAUGCCCUUGCAUACACAUAUGCACCAGCUGAGUUCGGACCAACAAAUGAAAUAGCUUUAAUAUCGUCAUCAUCACAAAUAGCAUUGACAAUAUCAUUGGUGCCAUGAACAAUAUUUAAGACACCAUUAGGCAAACCAGCUUCCAUAGCUAACUCUGCCAGCAUCACAGAAGCCCCUGGAUCCUUUUCGGAUGGCUUUAGAAUAAAAGUAUUGCCACAUGUGACAGCAACAGGAAACAUCUGCUAACAAACACAUUUGAAAAAAAUAUAUAUGUAAUUAAGCCUCAUAAAUAUAUCAUAUGAAUCUCUUAUCAUUUCCCAUGAGCAAUUGACAAAAGCUUAGAUGCAACUAUCUAAUGGAAAGGCAAUAAUACUAAAAACCCACAAUAACAGGCUAAUAGGACUAUUCCAAUCAUGGCCUCUACUCCAUUUUAGCCAUCAUCACUUUUUUAUGUCUCAAGAUCAUAACUUACAGAGACCAUUGCAGUCAUACGUAUUGCAUGCUCUAGGGUAGUAUUUUGGCCAGAUCAUAGAACAAGUAAUAACAAAAGGCACGGUUAUAAUAGGCUUACCCAUAGUGGGAUCAUAGCAGGAAACUCAAAUGGGCAAAUUCCAGCACAAACACCAAGUGGCUCUCUAAUGCUGUAGGUAUCAAUUCCAUUAGACACGUUGGAAACAAACUCUCCAAUUUGCAGGGUUGCCAAUCCACAAGCGUGUACCACCACCUUUAUGAAGGAACAUCCCAGACUUUGUAGAACACAAGCACCACAAACAAGAUUAUCCAUAGAUAGUAAAUAAAAAAGACACUAGCCUAGUCCUCGUGACACAUCAGCAUAUGCAUCUUUUAGAGCCUUCCCAUGCCAGUAGUAAUGGUCGCAGACAGCAUAUCCUGGGAAAGAAAUUAUUGUAAAAUCAACCAGAUAUUGCAAGCUAAAGUGUGUAAAAUCCAAAAAAUUACAAUGUCUCUCCAGAUAAACUCUUGGAACUUGAACAUGAUUCGUUGAUGAGUGGUAUUUGGUGUGCUUCUUCAUGAUGGAAAUGCCCGCUUUGCAGCAAAUACUGCAGCUCUGAAUUCCUCAUUUGUAGUCAAAGGAACUUGAGAAACAGCUAGUUGGGUUGCUUGUCACAUAUCAGCAAAUAAUUGGAAAGAAUGACUAAAUAAUUAUUGAAAUGAUAACAUUAAGGAAAUAAAAUGAAAUGAACUUAAGAGGGCUUUAUCUAAACUUACAGGAUUUAUAACAUCGAUAAACACAAAAGACUGAAUCAACAAAUUUACCUCCAGUGAGAUUGGG
rnacentral:misc_RNA from 1 species